ACAAAUCAUCCGCCUGAGAACUACGAGCACAAACGCUUAAAACUCUAAGGACUUGGCGGUGCUCUAAACCCACCUAGAGGAGCCUGUUCUAUAAUCGAUAACCCACGAUUCACCCGACCACUUCUUGCCAAAACAGCCUAUAUACCGCCGUCGCCAGCCCACCUCAUGAGAGCACAACAGUGAGCUCAACAGCCCACAGCCCACUAACAAGACAGGUCGAGGUAUAGCCUAUGAAGUGGAAGAAAUGGGCUACAUUUUCUAAAAUAGAACAACCCAACGAAAAGGGGCUUGAAACCUGCCCCCAGAAGGCGGAUUUAGCAGUAAAGCAGGAUAACC
rnacentral:rRNA from 1 species